AAUUAUCCCAAAUACCUGCCACAGUUGGCCCAAAUCUGCCCCUGGUUCCCCUUCUUUUCACUUAUACAAACGACUCUGUUUUCCCCCUAAUUAAUAUCAGCGGUCUAUGUUACUCAAAUCAACAUACAGGAACAAAGGGGUCUUCAAUAUUUAGCUGUCUGAACUACUCUACCCCCCCUAUCAUCUCCCUUAGACAACACCCUACCUCACAGAACACGCCUUCAAAACCCUAGCCGCCACCCGUUCCCACCACCCAGAAACCCGACGGUGCCACCUCCUUUCACCCUCAAAAUCACACCAAACAACCACUUCCCUAUCCUCAUAUCAAGUCCCCACUCCAUCCCAUUCAUAUCUUUCCAGCGGCUCGAAUCUUAAAUCUAAGGUUCGAGUCUCACAAGCCCAACUCCUAAACCUGUGCAUGCAGGUUUUUUCCCAUUUUUCUUGAGUUUUGGGUUGAUUUUAUCCCUUAAUAACGUUGUUCUAUUGUUCUUGCUAAGAAUAAACGCCUAACGUUAUUUGAGGACAAAAUGAGAGGUUCGAGUCAUCACGGGUUCAAGAUUUUCAGUUGGUAAGUUCUUCCUUCUCUUGUGAUUUUCUUUCAGUGGUUCAUCUUCCUCCUCAUCCCUUUUCUUUUGGACUGGUCAAAAUUUCUUUGGGUAUUCCGAGUUCAAACUGGUUCCUCUUCUUUUCUUUUGUUAGCGGGACUAUUUGUGUUCUUUAAUCCACUUUGUUUUGUUUGUUUUAGUUUUUAUGUUAAUAGCAUAAUUAUUAUUUCAUCAUCUGUUAAUCACCUAGAUAAUGAAAUUAGGUCCAUGAUUUAAUUUACUGUUGUUAUAAAAUUAGAUUGGUUAAUUCAUUCAUUUUGCUUUUGUUUCAGCUUGAUUUCAAUAAAUGGUUUUAGGGUUCUUUGUUUGGGGAAAUUCUGGAUUGGCUCUAAUUCGGAGUCUAUAAGUGUUUUAAUUGGUCUACAUAUCAAAGUCCCAAAUAGGGAUUCAAUUUAAUUUCUGCAAACCCAUUAGUUUGGAUAGUUGACCCGAGUUGGAUUUAAGGGUAAAUAAAAGUAGGUAAAAGGUUAGUUUUGAGUAAUUGCUUAAGGGAAUCUUUGUAUAACUGAUCAGGAAGCUUCUUAGAAGCUGACUUAGGAAUUAUUUUGAAACUCUAAAUAGAGAUAUCUAGGCAAAAAUGAAAACAUGAAAGGGGCUAAAAUGAAAAUCUGAUUCCUUUUUUGUUGCCCGAUUUCCUUGCCUAUAAAGGCAUCUCAUCCCUUGCGUUUCAAGUCAGAGAUCAAUAGAGAAAAAUCCAGAAAAAGGCAGACGGCUAAAAAUUGUCAUUGUUCCAUUGAGAUUUUCUCUUGUUUCUUUGAUUUCUGAAGUUUUUCAAGUACUGAAAAUUUCCGGUUCAUCUGUGGUAGAAUGUUUUGAAUUUAGUUUGUUAAAUCCUGGUUAAAGUCAGCUUUGAUUAGUGUUCGAUUGAGAGUAGAUUUGGACUGUUUUCCCAUAAUUUUUAUAGCUUAAAUGGACUAUUUGUGUUGAGUUCGGUUGUGCUGCUGCUGCUGCCUUGUUCAUCUACUGAACCUCAUCUACUUCUUGUUUCCUCUUAUUUCCCAGGUGCAUAUCUCUGAAUCUUAAGUAUGUAAGAAAUGGUUCAUGAAGUGUCUUUGUUGAAGAGAAAUGAAGAUUGUGCUUUCCUUUACCAGAUGUUAUCUUCUUUUAGUUUUUAUUUGUAGUUUGUUUUUGUCGAUUUUAUCUCAACAUGUUUCUUUUUCAGUUUGUCUUAAAGUUUUAUAUCAAAACUGUAGUGGGACUAUUAUGUAGUAUUUGUUGAUUUUGGACUGUUUAAUUUCUAAGUUCUGCUGUUGUUAGGAGUGACCAUCAAUUUUGAGAUCCAUGCAUAUUUUUGUAAAGAUUGUUGAAUGUUUUGUUAAUCACAAGGUUAUUAUAGUUAAGACUGAGCAUGUAUGUACAAGUUGAAGUUGUUAAGUUUUGUUUCUAUUGUUGGUUUGGUCUUGUUUGAGAAUGGCUAAGAGUGAAAGGGUUGCUUUGAUUUGCAAAUGUCAGUGAUUUUAAGUUGAUUUAGAUGGUUAUUAUAUGACUAAGUGUGUAUUGAAAUUAAGCAUGCUUAGCUAAAUUCAAUAGCCUUUCUUGUUCGAGUGGCUGGUGGACAUUUGUGUAUUUCAGUAGACUUCAAAUUGCUUUUCAAACGUUUCAAUGGAUUUGACAUGAGAUAUUCUAAAAAAUUUAUGCACUUUACGUUUCAAAUAGCUUAAGUCAUUCCUAUUUAUGUCAAUGAGUGCUGCACUUUUGGAAGCUUAUGAUACCUCAAAUUAAAACUCCUACUCUGUGAGUUAAAAUUAUUUUUGGUUCUUUAGGGAUUCGAUCUCUGGGAAAUGCCCAUCGCUGCCCUCUUUUCUACUAGGACUGGGCCUAGUUCAGGCCCAAAGCCUUGAAGGCAUUUGUUGUGAUCGCUAUUUCCCUUUGGUUUGA
rnacentral:lncRNA from 1 species